AUUCAAUCAUCUCGAAAGUAAUGGAAUGGAAAGGACUUGAAUGGAAAGGAAUGGAAUGGAAUGGACGCGAAUGGAAUGGAAUGGAAUGGAAACUACUCGAGUGGAAUGGACUGGAGUCGAAUGUUAUGGAAUGGAAUGGAAUGGACUCGAAUGGAAUGGAAUGGAAUGGAAACGACUCGAGUGGAGUGUAAUGGAAGAGAAUGGACCCGAA
rnacentral:lncRNA from 1 species